AGAAUCAACGCUGGCGGCGUGCCUAACACAUGCAAGUCGAACGAGAAAGUGGAGCAAUCCAUGAGUAAAGUGGCGCACGGGUGAGUAACACGUGACUAACCUACCCUCGAGUGGGGAAUAACUUCGGGAAACCGAGGCUAAUACCGCAUAAAACCUAAGGGUCAAAGGAGCAAUCCGUUUGAGGAGGGGGUCGCGGCAGAUUAGUUAGUUGGCGGGGUAAUGGCCCACCAAGACGAUGAUCUGUAUCCGGCCUGAGAGGGCGCACGGACACACUGGAACUGAAACACGGUCCAGACUCCUACGGGAGGCAGCAGUGGGGAAUUUGCGCAAUGGGGGAAACCCUGACGCAGCAACGCCGCGUGGAGGAUGAAAUCCCUUGGGAUGUAAACUCCUUUCGAUCGGGAAGAUAAUGACGGUACCGGAAGAAGAAGCCCGGCUAACUUCGCGCCAGCAGCCGC
rnacentral:rRNA from 1 species